ACGCCGAGUCGCUCGAAUGAGCGAGCCGGGGACCCACCGUCUUGGACGAGACACGGGGUGAAUCCGUUAACGCGGUAGGGCAGUCAUCGGCCCGAACCCGACAGCUAACCCGGUAGGCGCCGACGA
rnacentral:sRNA from 1 species